UGAAGAGCAAUGUGUACAUGUCAUGAGAACAGGCAGGGUAACUUGGGAAACAGUCCACUCCCACACGAUGACUUGACAUGCACGUAACCGGAUUUGUUGCCGCUCGCGCAGAUUUGGACGCCAACACACACGCGGACUGACAAAGAAAAGGUAUAGUCUGGCCUUAGUAAGUGAAGAAAGAGAAGAAACAAAAAAUCACUGUUGGCGAAUUCAUGAAACGCCUGCCUGAACGAAUGCCAAGUCGUUAAAAUAAAGACACUGAACAAAUUAUUAAAAUCAAAGUUUCUCCUAAGAAGUAUUCGAAUGAUUCUCCGUUUCGUUCCCACCAAUGUUUCUGCAAAAAACGUUGUAAAAGUUCAUUUGUGAAUUGAAGGUGAUUUUUUUGACGUUUUGGAAAUGGAAAUCGACUUGUGAAUCGAAGGUUUGUACAGAAGUUACGUAAUAUCAAUAUAGAUGGAAGGAAAUUGGCAACACGGCAUAGAAAACUAUUGGUUCAUUGGUAUUGACGGUCAAAAUGAAACAAAAAUGAAUCGAACAGAACGAAAAGCACUUUCAAGCCCAUAUAUAACGAAUGAUGACCGUAACAGAUACACAGUCGACUCCGAAUUCUCUAAGUCACGGGGACCGAAAAGAACACUUCUUGCCAUACGAAAUUCGAGCCACACGAAUUUUACAAAAAAAAUAAAUCAACAAAAGUAA